AUUUGUUCAGUUUGAGGAAGCGAAUCGAUAAUAGACGUUGGAAUAUGUAUGCAAUACAGACUAUCAUUGCCGAUUGUAGUACUGGCUAAAAAAUACCUUUUAUGACAGGUAUACUGGAUUAUGAAAGACUGAUAAACAUAAAAUUGACAACUCAUCUCCCCAACGAUACUUUGUGUGGCUCAUUCUCAGAACAAACCCAUAGUCAGUGAGAAAACUACAGUGUAAAAAGACCACUUGAUUGUGACAAUUAUGGCUGACCAAGCAAAUGUUAUCAUUUAAAAUAAAGAAAACUUCCAGUUCAAUAUACAUUUUAUACCAAUUAUGACAUUGGCCAACACAGAAAAUAAUUAUAAGGUUGAUUUUCCCAAAAUUGACUGUUACAAUUGGAUACUGUUUUAAGCUUCACUCUACUUUGUCUGAAAAUAAAAGUCCUAAAUGAUGUAAUAGAAACAUACAUAUUUAAUUUUUAGUUUUACAAGGAUAUAUAUAUAUACAUACAUAUAUUAUAAUAUCUUUUAUCGAUGGUCAAUCAAUUUAAGUUUAACUAAUAUAUACAUACACAUAUUAUACAUGUGUAUGCUUUGAUUUUUUUCUAUUAAAGCCAAAUUAAUAUCCCAUUAGAUAGAUAGAUAAUAUCACAGCAGUAUUCCUAUUUUGUCUGCAAGUACUGCAGAAAUCAUGGAUUAUUAUUUUACUGAGUCAGCCUUAAUCUUUAUAUUAUAAUUGUUAAAACAGAUUAAGAUGUGCAUUAUACAAUUGAGGAUGCAUCAAGAUUAAAAAAUGGUACAUGUAUAAAUUAAUAAAGAAUCAAUAACAAUCAGAAACUGUGCAUUUUUUUCAGUAUUGUGUGAAAGGAUUUGAAGUAAUGAUGUGUUUUUGAAAUAUGAUUUAUGUGAAUUUGAAUAAAUAUAUAAAAUUUA